AGAGAACAUGGUGUCCUCUCCUCUCCUUUUCUUCAAGGGGCUCCUGCUCACAGCUUCCCUUCUAGCCUGCCAGAACUCAAGCGCUGCCAUGGCCCACCUAUCUAUCGAGGCUCUGCCGCCCUCUCUUCCUGAAGGGGGAAAUGUUCUUCUAGAUUCUGAUACAGCCCUACCUCCAGGUCAAGAGCAUUAUAGUGGAAAGACGGAAAUCUGCAACCUUCGAGUGCAGGUCACCCGACACUGGAGUUGACAUCACUUGGAUCUUCAAUAACAAGCCCCUGGAUUUCAAUAAGAGGAUGUCUCUAUCUCCUGACAAGCACAGACUCAGCAUAGCUCCCCUCAGGCUGAAGGAUACAGGGGAGUAUCAGUGCGAGGUCUCCAACUCCUUCACUUCCAGGAAGAGUAACCCCAUCUCCUUGUUCUUGGUCCGCGUGUGACCUUCUUCUCCUCCUCCACUGCUGAUGGGAGGUUGCCUUCCUCACUCGUGUGCAAGGUGGAUAAAGGUUGAAGGGAGUCACUGAUCAGUGCAGACACAGAGACAGGCAGCAUGGUGACAGACACUUGCCAUCCUAAAAUAAAACACAGGUCAGUCCCAUCCAGACACAGUGAGGCAAUGAUUUUAUAAAAGACAAGAGUAUAGGAGCAGAACUCAGUCCAGGGAUCUGAUUUGCAAGGCACUAAGAAGGGCUUAGGUUCUGAAUCAGAUACAAACCACACC
rnacentral:lncRNA from 1 species